rnacentral:rRNA from 1 species
AUGGCUAAGUCACAAUCAUUGGCUGCAGCAUUGCUGCUUGUCCUAGUGGUGUCCCUCACCGCCAUAGAGGGUGUUCAUGGCAUCUGCGGCAUGUCGAAUGAUGAAUUCAAACUUUGCCAGCCUGCGGCAGCAGUGGAAAACCCAAUAGACAGUCUGUCAGCUGAGUGUUGUGCCGCGCUUGGGAAGGCUAACUUAUCGUGCAUUUGCCGCUACAAGGCAUCGCCAGCAUAUGGCUGA